ensembl:rRNA 5S_rRNA 5S ribosomal RNA
GCUACGGCCAUACCACCCUGAGCGCGCCCGAUCUCGUCUGAUCUCGGAAGAUAAGCAGGGUCGGGCCUGGUUAGUACUUGGAUGGGAGACCGCCUGGGAAUACCAGGUGCUGCAAGCU